rnacentral:rRNA from 1 species
CUUUACUAUAGCCUGGAAUUGUGUUCGGGCUUUUCUUGCGCAGCCUAGGUGGGAGGCUAUGAAGAUUUCCUUCCGGGGAAGUUGGAGCCAUCAGUGAGAGACCACUCUGGAGAGGCUAGAAUCCUAAUGGUGAUCCUUGAAUCAGGACACUUGACAGUUUCAGGUGGGCAGUUUUUCUGGGGCGGAAGCCUCAUAAAGGGUAACUGAGGCGCGCAAAGGUCCCCUCAGUCUGGACGGAAAUCAGACAGCGAGUGUAAAGGCAAAAGGGGGCUUGACUGCAAGACCUACAAGUCGAGCAGGAGCGAAAGCUGGCCUUAGUGAUCCGACGGUACCGUGUGGAAGGGCCGUCGCUCAACGAAUAAAAGUUA